rnacentral:lncRNA from 1 species
AUGCACUUUGAGCCAUUGGUACGACGGCUGGCACCAGCCGAGCAGCCCCGGGACACGCGGGGACACGGACAAGGACAGAACAACCCUUGCUGCCCGGCUCAGCCGGGAUCUGGCGGGGCUUUCACCCGUGGGGCAGGGCGGGCUGUACGUCCCUGUGAGCCGUGGGCUCCUGCCCCACAAACAUGGUGCUGUUCUACACGAUCUAGAGCCCGGCGUGGCGAGUCCGCUGUUUUGGGGGCCCUGGACACGGGGACGCUCUCGGCCCUUCCGCGAGCUAAUUCCUUUCCCGGCCCCACUAAAANNNNNNNNNNNNNNNNNNNNCCGGCCCCACUAAAAUUAGCCGGGUCUUUUCCGGCGCCGCCCGCCGUGACCCCACGCCCUGCGGCCGGAGCAAGGCGGAUGUUCCCGCUGGACUCUGAGCCGGCCGCUGCUCCCCAGGGAUGCAGCAGCUCCCGCCGGGCUGAGCCGCAUCCUGCCCCAUCCCAGCCCAGCCCCGCGGGGUGCCGGGCCCCGCUGCCCCCUCCCCGGCAGCUUUAUAAAAAUAGCUCCUUCCCAGGCUGGUUCCCCCCGCCGCCAGCGCCAGCAGGAUCCAGAUGUUUUCCAGAUGUUCUUCAGUGGCUGGAGGCCAGGAUGUGCUGGAGCUGGGACUGGAGCUGGCCUGGGAAACUGUGCGGGGGUGGAGGAGGAGGAGAGGGAGGUGGAGGGGGAGGAGGCCUUGCCCCAACCCUGCCACAGGCCCUGGAGGGACCCCUUGUGCCAUGGUGGGACCCUUUGUGCCUGGGAGGACCAGCCCAACCCUUCACGGGCAUGGCAGCCCUGAGCAACCCCCCCCAACCACAGCACUUUGUACCCAAAAUAGUUUAUUUUAANNNNNNNNNNNNNNNNNNNNCACCCGCUCGACCUCUGCCUGUGGGGAGAGGCUGUGAUUGUUGGGGGGCACAGGGGACCCCAGACAAGGCAACCCCUGGCAGGGACUCACCUGCAGCACCUGGCGCUGAGCCUGCUCCUGGCACAGCUCCUGCCGCAGCUCCUGCAGGUCCCGCCUGCAACACACCGGGGUGGCUCAGCUGGGGCCAGGACAAGCAGCCAGGAGUCCCUGGGGACCCCCCAACACCCCCAUCCCCACUCACAGGUGCUGGACUCGCAUCAGGUCCACAAGGAUGUGCAGGGUCCGCACCUCAGCCUUCAGGUCCUCCAGGGCCAGUGGCCUCCCCUCCAGCACCUCCAGCCCCUCUGUGCUCCACGGUGGGACAGGUGCCUGCCCUGUGCUGGGGACAGGGGCACAGAGGGCAGAACGGGGCAGCCCCUGGGGCUGCUCCCCCCCAUGGGGACCCCCUGUGCUCCCCAGGGCCAGGCUGGGUGGCCGCUGGCCAGGGACUCGUGGCCGUGUGGCUGUGGGGUGGCUCAGCCUGGCUGUGGUCACUGACACCAUGUUAA